AAGUGUGCAAAGCCGAACCCGGUCGGACUCCGGGGCGGGGGAACCAGUUGGGACUGAGGUCCCUGGGGCGAAUCGUAGUUGCGUAGCGCGGCCUCUUUCCGCGCGAGCCCGUCAGCUAACCCCGCAGGCACAGAGAAAGAGAGG
rnacentral:sRNA from 2 species